GUCAGUAGUCCUGGUAACUCAGGAGGCUGAGGUGAGAAGAUCACUUGAGUCCAGGAGUUCUGGGCUGCAGUGAGCUAUGCUGAUUGGGUGUCCACACUAAGUUCAGCAUCAAUAUGGUGACCUCCCAGGAGCGGGGAACCACCAGGUUGACUAAGGAGGAGUGAUCCAGCCCAGGUCAGAAAUAGAGCAGGUCAAAACUCCUGUGCUGAUCAGCAGUGGGAUCUCACCUGUGAAUAGCCACUGCACUACACCUGGGCAACAUAACAAGACUCUGUCUCUU
ensembl:misc_RNA Metazoa_SRP Metazoan signal recognition particle RNA